rnacentral:lncRNA from 1 species
UUUGAAUAUUUGAUUUGUAAUAAGUAAAAAAAAAAAUCCGUAUCUAAGUAUAACCGUAUCGAUUUUUUAUUUUCGCGUUCUUGGAUGACUCAACUCUCCGUAAGAUAUUGAGAGAUCGAGAAAGAGCAUGAUAAUCGCGAGUAACGUAAUCGUGGCGCGGAGAGAGGCUGAACAUGAUAUCGCACAAAGCAGCGGCCAUAUAUUAUAUACAUAUAUAAUAAAUAUAUAUUUAUGUAUAAAUAAAAAGCGAGAGCAAGCGUAAGCGUAAGUCUAACUCAUGUACACGUAAGCUGCGCCUCGCGACGAGUGCGAGAAAUCGAUUAUUAUAAGAACGAAUCAUUGUAUAAAUAAUGAAUUUAGGUGUGAUGGAUCACUGCGAUUCUAGGUGGUGCGUUUUUCCCAUUUUCUUAAAUCAAAAUUACUUCAUUCUUUUUGUUGCGCAAAAAGUUCACUAUCGUACAAAAUUGAUUUUCUAAUAUUUUCAUUCAAAUACUGAGUUACUUUUUGAAGAAUGGCACACCGCUUUUAUUUCCGAUCGAUAAUUGAAUUAAAUCGAUAUAAUCAAAACUACAAUUUUUAAGAAGAAUUAUUAUAUAUACUUUCUUUCACGAAAGUGAAUAAAUAAUAAUUCUGUGCAAAAUUUUUUUGCAAUAUUUUUUUAGAACAUUUUACUAGCGCAAUCAAAAAUAUCCCAAAAUGCAAUUUUUACUGUUGCCGUCAGGAUUUAUAUUCGAAUCAAAACGCACCGUCUGGAAUGCGUCCACAUCGAUAUGUUUAGGGAUUAAGCUAAUUAAGUUACUUCUGUGCCAAGAGGAGGGAAUAAGCAGUUUUAUAAAGCUGCAGGAGCGGUCUCUUUGGUUACCGCGAAGUGAAGCACGCAGUAUUCUCUCCGGGAAAGUUCUGUGAACGUGUUUGAGGGGAAGGGUUCAGGGGAAACGUUCUCGUUUACACAAUCAACCCUCCGACGGAUAUUUCGAACUCUGAAAGCAGUCGGUUCCGUUUCUCGAAUGAUCAGGUUUUACCAUCUGGCGAAUUUGCGUACUUUCAACAUCACGUAAUUUAUUAUUCGAUCUCAUAGAAGAUCUGUUUCCCUUACUAUAAUCGUUUCUUCUUCUUUCUUUUCACCCGAAUAUUUUGUCUUAAGUACAGAAAGCGUAAAAGAAGAAUUGUAGCUAAGAGAAACAGAUCUGCGAAACGAUGCGGAGGCCAGUAAAGAAGUUGUUCGACGAUUGUCUUAUUAAUUUCUAUUCGAUAUAUUAUUAUAUUCUAUUUUAUUGCAUUUUUACGCUUCCCCCGUUUCCUUCAUCUCACGGGGGUGAGAAACGCUCGCGCGCGCGCGCGUGCAUCACAUUCCUAUUUUGUAUGCAUUUUUCUAAAUAGGCUCGCCGGCUCAAGCGUGUUUCGCCGAGAUACAUCUACAUAAUCUCCCAUUCGCGUACAUUGAAUCACAACCAAAAUAAGUGCGAGCAGCCGCAUUCAAUUGAAAUAUCCUGUUCCGAAACUGCGAAAGCAUUUGACAGUAAUUUAAAAAAAACUGACUGGGGAUUACCAAGAGAAUCCGAAGUAUCCAAGUAUUCGAGCUCUAUAUGAAAUCAAAGACUUCGGCGAUACAAAACAGUAAGAACUCCAUGAGCAAUAUUCUAAGAGUAUGAAAAUACGAAGAUCUGGGUAUUCUGAGCAAAGAAUCCGAAGAUCUAGAAUCAAAUUGAAAAACUGGAGGCUGUGGAAAUCGAAGAAUCGAGGAAUGACGGAUAUACAAGAACUCGCGCGAGCCGAUGAAUGAGAGAAUGAUAGAUUUUCACGCGCACUCACAGAUAUUCCAUAUCGUCAAGUUACAAAUAAAUUGCAAAACGUUAGACUCGAGAUCAAAUGAUUUUACGGCUGCGCAACAUUAUGCAGGAUGUUCCAGGAUAAAAUUAAUGGACAUGUAAUAAGAUAUUGAAAUAAUUUUAGUAAAAGAAAUCCAUUACUUUACGUCUUCAUGAAAAGUCAGAGUUGCGUUAUUAAAAUUUUUCUUUAAUUCAAGAAUCUCUCUAAUUUUUGUAUAUUUUAUAUUGUCGAAAUUAAUAACUGAUACUUAUAUUUUCAAGCCAAUUUCCUCUUUCUACAAUUCGUUCUAUUUAAGAGAUUCCUCCUGGAAGACCCUAUGUACAUCGCUUCACACCUUUCUGCGUGAACUGGCAAUCGAUUGUACUUAAUUAUCGCACGAAAUCGCCUGAUGCGUUACUCUGCAGCCGUGCCGAGGACAACGUCGAGCUGGAUGAAGGACCUUACUUAAGGCUGCAUCUGAAGCCCGGAAGGCCAGGUGGUGUUAUCGAUAACUAUGUGUAUUUCUAUGGACGAUGCUUGUAAUAUGAUUUAAAUGGUUACUUGUAGGAUCAUUGUAAAACUAUUCGCGCGUACGCGAUAAUCGAUGUGAUUACGUUUGCUCCGGAGACGAAAGACACGGAAGACGAGCGGUUUAGAUAAACGAAACAAAUUAUAUAUUUUGCCGUGCCAGACGAAAACGAAGCUGCCGCCGCUAAUUGUAGACCAGUUGUAAUAACGACUCACUGUAUCGCGACGAACACUUUAGAGAGGUUCAAGAUUUCAGGAGUUGUUCAUUAUUCAACACACACGAAGAGGACGCUCGACAACGAGAUCAAAAUCAUCUAAAGGAGCGGAAUUUUAUAGCCCUUUGUCCUUUUGUUUUUUAUAAAUUAGUUUUACUUCAUAAACAAAACGCUGUGUACUCAUAAAGUGUCAGAGGAAACUUACUAGCGAAUUCUGUGAGUAAUUUUUUUUUUUUCCUAUAUAUUUGAAUGGUUUAUUAAUGGUUUUUCAAGUUGUAAUAAUUGCGUGAUGAUUAAUUGAAA